UAAGCAUAUAGUAGUGAGGAAAAGAAACCGAAUGGGAAUCUCUUAGUAAUGGCGAAUGAAAGGAGAUGUGCUUAGUGUCAAAAUCAGAUUACUCUGACUUGUAGGCUGUAAGGGCUUUGCCAACUUGGGUGCAGGUGCAAGUCUCUUGGAAAGGAGCACCAGUGAGGGUCAAGGUCCCGUCUGGCAUCUGUCAUCCCUCGUAGACGGUCUGCCCAUUGAGAGUCGUGUUCUUCUGGAGUAGAGCGCCAAUUGGGUGGUACUCUUUGCCCAAGGAGGAUUACGUGCUUGAGACCAAUAGUGAACAAGUACCAUGAGGGAAGGAUGAAAAGGACUUUGGAAAGAGGGUUAAGAGGGCAUGAAGCUGCUGGAAGGGAAGUGGAUUGGACUUUUACAUCGCAGUAAGAUUGCAGUCUGUGAUCUCCACUUGUGGGGCAUUGCGUGCUGUGUUUCUUGCUGCUUGGUUGGGUUUUGCGUUGUGCCCAGAAUCUCAGUUUUGACUGGCAGAAGGAUUGCGAUCUGGACCAUGUCAUUGCCUACUUUUGGCGCAGCAUUCAACCCUUGACCAAAAGGUUCAAUUUUACCCGUCUUGAAACACGGACC
rnacentral:rRNA from 1 species